rnacentral:rRNA from 1 species
UACGGAGGGGGCUAGCGUUGUUCGGAAUUACUGGGCGUAAAGCGCACGUAGGCGGCUUUGUAAGUCAGGGGUGAAAUCCCGGAGCUCAACUCCGGAACUGCCCUUGAGACUGCAGAGCUCGAAUCCAGGAGAGGUGAGUGGAAUUCCGAGUGUAGAGGUGAAAUUCGUAGAUAUUCGGAAGAACACCAGUGGCGAAGGCGGCUCACUGGACUGGUAUUGACGCUGAGGUGCGAAAGCGUGGGGAGCAAACAGG